GGGAAAGCUAAAGGUAGUGAAGUAGGCAAUUGGGGUCGAACCACUCUAAAUUAUUUGUGUCCAUUGUUUAAUUCUUGCCUUUGCUUUCACCA
rnacentral:pre_miRNA from 1 species